UACAGGCUGCAUUGUUCGUAAUCAUAUUAAGUUUUAACCUUUAAGCUGUAAAAGGGAGUUUUAAUUGAGGAAGGAUUGGCAUGCCGCAUUCCAUUGUUAAUGCGGACAAACAUGAAACCCUCUGCGAACACCCACUUUGAGGAGUGGUGGUUUAAAACUUUCAAUAUUAAAAAAUUACGGCAUACGCGGCUUAUUA
rfam:Viridibacillus arenosi FSL R5-213 Contig009, whole genome shotgun sequence.